rnacentral:misc_RNA from 1 species
GUGAGGAGAUUAAUUCCAUCCUCCUGUGCCAUAAAAGAGAAGGUUCUAUCAAGGGGGGAAAAAAGAAGAUAAAAGCAGCCAAUUAAGUUUGUCCUCACACAGUGAAAGAAUGGAAGCUUGUAUUCAGUAAAGAGAAAAGCUUAACAGCAUACAAGUUAUGGACACACACCAAUUCAACUUGCCUAACAUAUAACCUAUAAACAAGAAAAAUUUAGGAGCAUUGCACUGGUCAUAAUCAUAAAAUUAUUCAAACCUAUAAACAAGAAAAAUUUAGGAGCAUUGCACUGGUCAUAAUCAUAAAAUUAUUCAGAGUAAUUCCUUAAAAUUUUGAAAUAUGAGAAAGUACAAAACAUCCAUUCGCUAGUCCUACAUAUUGGGAAAACAACUAACGGCAAUCGUUUUACUUAGCUAUUGCAUAGACAUGUUAAUUUUCUACCACAAUUUGAUGUUAUGUGCAAUUGAUAUUAAAAUCUCAGUUUUUAGAAUUUAGACUUAAAAUUAGAUCAUAACAAAAAAUGACCCAAAAAUGGUAGUUAGAGGAUAUCCAUCAACAUGCUUCUAUUAAGAGAAAAUCCAAUGUUUCAAAUUCUGAAACAAUACUAAUAUUGAUAGAAAGUGUUUCAAAUUUGAGACCUUGAUCUUUAGCUUGUAAAUACUACUUUUUUUUAGAUACAUUGGACAGUAGUUUCAGUACUUCAGAUUUGGAGGCUUACGAUAAAAAAUAAAAAAUACAUUGAGGCCAUGUCCAAGCACCCAAAGCAUAUGAAUUCGGACAAUAGCCAUGAAACAAAUGGCACCACUUAUUCUGAUAGAAAGAAGCAUUACUAACUACUGUUCAGUAGUUAACAUGUUUCCCUACGUUGGUUUAUUGGUUUCACAAAAAUGAACCCCUUUUUCAGAAGAAUUUUGCUAACUAUUGUGACUCACUACGAUGAACAGUAUCGAGAAUUUUCAUGUUUCGUUCCUUGUCUAUUUUCCAUUAUUCAGUUUCUUAUUCAUUUUCCAUAUUUCAUUGUGAAAUACAAAAUUUUCAUAUGUUUCAUUCAUUUUCUCUAUUUGUCCAUUCAGUAAUCACUACAGCAUUGUUCACCAUAGUGACUCUCUACAAGGAUUUUUGUUUUGAGAAACUGAAGUUUAAUGAGAAGGAAAUUCCAAUCCCAGGACCAUGAAGAGAAACUCUGAAUGCAUGACAGAUGGUUGACAUAGAACUGACUCUAAUUGGUUGAAAUGUUGACUCAUUUAUUCAAUCACCAAUGCUUUAAAGGGUUGAUUCAACUCUAACAGGUCAUGCAAAAUUUCUAAACUGACCAGAAGCUCUACUGGUUUGAGAGUAUUUAAAAAGGGAUCUAGAAAACUGCACUGCAGCAUCUAAGACAUUCAGUCUCUCAUACAGCCACUUAGUUUAGAUAUAUAUAUGCACAACAUGCUUGAUGUCACAUACCAGUAAAAUUGUAUGCCCAUUGU